AUUGAACUGGGAUCUCUGGUGCUGUGGGGCAGCAGUGCUAAACACUGUGCCACCUCCCCCAUUUUCCGCAAAAGUAACUGGGACACAAUGAAAGGCUUGGAGGAGGUGGAAUUCUUAAAAUGUGUUCAGGAGAGCUUUUUAAAGCCAGCAUUUAGAAAGUCCUAUAAGACAGGGAAUAGUGCUGAACUUAAUUUUAGGGAACAAAGUUGGGCAAGUGGUAGAUGUGGCAAGUGGCAGGGAGGGGUGGAAUUUUGGUGGUUGUGAUCAUUAUUCAAAAGCAUUUAGGGUAAUUAGAUGAACCUAAAAUAAAUGUUCUGAAUUGAAAGAAGGUCAAUUUUAUUACAAUAAGACAGGAUUUGACCAAAGUGGACUGGGAACACCUACUUGCAGGAAAUCCACAUCAGACCAUGGGGAAACAUUCAAAAGAAUAAUAGCGAAAGUGUCGGGCCAACAUAUUGUUGUGAAGUUAAGGGGUGGGACCAACAAUCCCAGAGAAUCCUGGAUGUCAAGAGAUGUACAUGAUUAUAUAAGGGGGAAAAAAAGAGAGACUAUGGUAAGUAUUGAAGGCUGAAAACAGCAGAGGCCUUAGAGGAUUGAAGGGGGGUUACUUAAAAAAAGGAAAUUAAGGAAGAGCAAAGAGAGAUAGGAUUGUGGCUGAUAACAUUUAGGAAAAUUCAAAGUUAUUUUAUAAGUAUACUGGGGAAAAAGAAAGAGUAGAGCCCAUUAGGGACUAAAGUGACAAUUGGUGUAUGAAGCUGGAACAUAUACUUGUGGUUUUAAAUGAUAACCUUGCAUCUGUAUUCACUGUAGAGAUGGAUGAUGUAGGUAUAAAAUCAGGCAGACUCUAACAUAAUUGAACAGAUUAGUAGAGAGAGAGAAGGUACUAACAGUUUAGCAGGCUUAAGAAUCAGUAAAUUCCCAGGCCCAAGCUGCUGUAUGAGGCAAAGGAGGAGAUUGCAGAGGCUUUGACGCGAAUUUUCAAAUAUUCUCUGACCACAGGAGGGAUCCCAGAAGACUUGAGGACAGCUAAUAUGGUACCAUUAUUCAGAUCAGUUUCAGUAAACCAUCACUUCCUGCUGGACUCUCGCUUUUUGCACUGUGGAACGGUGCUGAGAUCUUGGAAACUAUGCACUGACUGUUCAGGCCAAAGAGCGGGAUUAAAGACAGAUAUAAAAAUAAAACGGAGAGAAACUCAGCAGGUUUGGCAGCAUCUGUGGAGAGAGAAUAAAAGUUAAUAUUUUGAGUCCAAUCUGACUCUUCUUUAAGACUGAAGACAGACUUAAUUAACUGCUUUUAUGUGGAGAUAUAACUACAUUAUCAAAGUGGCAUAAUUUUCAAGAUCAAAAGCACAUUACAAGUAAUUCUGCAACACCAAGAAUGCAGCAAAGUUCAGUAUUUCUUUGUGAUUUACAAACAACACAUCUCACUUUGGAGCCUGCAGUCAUGACUUGACACCAACAUCCUUGAGGGCAUUGGCUGAAAAUUCAUUGAAAGUGGGAGAUUCUUAUCAGAGAAUUCAGAAUGUACCGCCAGUUAAAAGAAAACCCAGCCAAACGUCACUGAUCCAGGAAUAAUCCAAGUGCCAACAGCUCGUGUGGAAUGCAACUUCAGCUGUAUUUGGGACAAUCUGUGAAUAAUCCUUCUUUUUAAUUUAACUGCUACUUGGCGAAAUACUUCUACAAUAACACUCUGCAGACCAUUAUAUUUGUUUCCAGGCUGGAAGCUUUUGCAGAUGUGUGUUUAGAUUGGAUUAGAUUAGAUUCCCUACAGCGUGGAAACAGGCCCUUUUGCCCAACAAGUCCACACCGACCCUCCG